CCUACGGGAGGCAGCAGUGAGGAAUAUUGGUCAAUGGACGAGAGUCUGAACCAGCCAAGUAGCGUGAAGGAUGACUGCCCUAUGGGUUGUAAACUUCUUUUAUAGGGGACUAAAAUGUUCCACGUGUGGGAUUCUGUAUGUACCAUAUGAAUAAGGACCGGCUAACUCCGUGCCAGCAGCCGGGGUAAUCCGGAGGAUCCGAGCUUUACCCGGAUUUAUGGGGUUUAAGGGGAGCGUAGGUGGAUUGUAAAGUCAGUUGUGAAAGUUUGCGGCUCAACGGUUAAAUUGCAGUUGAUACUGGCAGUCUUGAAUGCAGAAGAGGUGGGAGGAAUGUGUGGUGUAGCGGUGAAAUGCAUAGAUAUCACGAAGAACUCCGAUUGCGAAGGCAGCUUACGAAACUGCGACUGACAUUGAUGCUCGAAAGUGUGGGUAUCAAACAGGAUUAGAUACCCUAGUAGUC
rnacentral:rRNA from 1 species